rnacentral:misc_RNA from 1 species
UUGAUUGAUUCAAUCGUAUACUCGGACGCAAAGAUGCAGGGUUGAGAGGUCCACCGGGGGCCCCGACGCCCGAAGGCCGGGUCGCCCCCGAGGCAACUGGGUCGGAUAACAUGGGGUUGGAGGUCGGGCCCGGAGGCCCUUCGCUCGGUAAUGAUCCCUCCGCAGGUUCACCUACGGAGA